AAACGAUGAAUACUCGAUGUUGGCGAUAUACGGUCAGCGUCUAAGCGAAAGCGUUAAGUAUUCCACCUGGGGAGUACGCCCGCAAGGGUGAAACUCAAAGGAAUUGACGGGGGCCCGCACAAGCGGAGGAGCAUGUGGUUUAAUUCGAUGAUACGCGAGGAACCUUACCCGGGCUUGAAAGUUAGUGAAUGAGACAGAGACGUCUCAGUCCUUCGGGACACGAAACUAGGUGCUGCAUGGCUGUCGUCAG
rnacentral:rRNA from 1 species